AUUGAACGCUGGCGGCAUGCCUUACACAUGCAAAUCGAACGGUAACGGGCCUUCGGGUGCCGACGAGUGGCGCACGGGUGCGUAAUACAUCGGAACGUGCCCGAUCGUGGGGGAUAACGAGGCGAAAGCUUUGCUAAUACCGCAUACGAUCUACGGAUGAAAGCAGGGGACCGCAAGGCCUUGCGCGGACGGAGCGGCCGAUGGCAGAUUAGGUAGUUGGUGGGAUAAAAGCUUACCAAGCCGACGAUCUGUAGCUGGUCUGAGAGGACGAUCAGCCACACUGGGACUGAGACACGGCCCAGACUCCUACGGGAGGCAGCAGUGGGGAAUUUUGGACAAUGGGCGCAAGCCUGAUCCAGCCAUGCCGCGUGCAGGAUGAAGGCCUUCGGGUUGUAAACUGAUUUUGUACGGAACGAAAAGCCUUCUUUUAAUACAGGAGGGUCAUGACGGUACCGUAAGAAUAAGCACCGGCUAACUACGUG
rnacentral:rRNA from 1 species